CCCUUAGAUGUUCUGGGCCGCACGCGCGCUACACUGAUGAAUUCAACGAGCACUAACCUGUGCAGAAAUGUUCGGGUAAUCUUGUGAAAUUUCAUCGUGAUGGGGAUUGAUUAUUGCAAUUAUUAAUCAUAAACGAGGAAUGCCUAGUAAGCGUGAGUCAUCAGCUCACGUUGAUUACGUCCCUGCCCUUUGUACACACCGCCCGUCGCUCCUACCGAUUGAAUGUGCUGGUGAAAAGUUCGGAUUGGGAAUAGGAGACGGCAACGCAUCCUGUUUCUGAGAAAAUCUUGAAACCCUCCCAUUUAGAGGAAGGAGAAGUCGUAACA
rnacentral:rRNA from 1 species